rnacentral:rRNA from 1 species
GACGAACGCUGGCGGCGUGCUUAACACAUGCAAGUCGAACGGAAAGGCCCUGCUUUUGUGGGGUGCUCGAGUGGCGAACGGGUGAGUAACACGUGAGUAACCUGCCCUUGACUUUGGGAUAACUUCAGGAAACUGGGGCUAAUACCGGAUAGGAGCUCCUGCUGCAUGGUGGGGGUUGGAAAGUUUCGGCGGUUGGGGAUGGACUCGCGGCUUAUCAGCUUGUUGGUGGGGUAGUGGCUUACCAAGGCUUUGACGGGUAGCCGGCCUGAGAGGGUGACCGGCCACAUUGGGACUGAGAUACGGCCCAGACUCCUACGGGAGGCAGCAGUGGGGAAUAUUGCACAAUGGGCGGAAGCCUGAUGCAGCAACGCCGCGUGCGGGAUGACGGCCUUCGGGUUGUAAACCGCUUUCGCCUGUGACGAAGCGUGAGUGACGGUAAUGGGUAAAGAAACACCGGCUAACUACGUG